AUGAAACAGGACACAUUCCCCUGCUGUUUACCUUCAAUCCCCACAUCAGUGCCAGCCUGUUAUGGUAUAAGUCAUCAACUGACUGUGCAAUGCAAGAGGAAAUCUUGGCAGCUGCAGGUUGGAAUUAACAUAACUCUUAUCAGAUUCCAUUUUUGAGUUUUCAGCUUUUCGCCACAAUUUAGGACAAGAAGCUCUUUUUUGAAAUCUUGAAAGCUUUCCUGGAGCUAGAACACUGUUUUCUACCCAGCUCUAGAAACGUGACUCAGACACCCUGCUCAGUCAAAAUUUCUCACGUUCUUCCUCCUUGCUUCCGAGGAUAGUCAUUUAUUGCUGGCCUAUACCAGCAGUAGACUAUUACCCCCAUCCCCCACUGGCUGGUGAAUAGGGAGCCAUGGGUCUCUUCCCACCCAGACGCUUAGGAGAGCAAGUGAGCGCAAGAGUAGCCCUGCUUACUACUGCUUAUCUGUAGCCAAUGGGUCUGGGUUAACCACAUAAGGGUGUAAGGAGAGGUCCCUGCUCCCUUACACAGGCAUCAAGCCCUUAAAGAUUAUAUCCAUCCCAUUCACUUGCCUUUCUAAUCGGGGAAAAAUAUUUUUCCUAAAGGACAAAAUAAGAUGUCUCUCAACACAGAAACAUACUGACUGCACCACCAACACCAAGGAGUCGGCUGCUCUGACUGAAGAGCAGUUAAUAGCCAUCCUCCUGCCACUGUUGUAUAACUGGAUUGCUGCACUUCAUGCAGAUGGGAUUAGUUGAUGUCAAUUUCAUUAAGUGUGAACUGUACAUAUAUUAGACAAUUUUCUCUUUUUAUUUCAGAAAAUAAUCCUUUAUUCUAAAAUUGUUACAUUUAAUAUUCCAAACCAAGCAAUGCCAACAACGGUUUGCUAUCACAGGUUUAUAAUACAUAUGUUCCGUAUAUCUCUAGUUCAAAGAUGUACAGUACAGUCAUAUUAUUAUAAUACAUCACAAAUGUUUCCUGAAGAACUCCAAUAACCAUAUCAUUUCCUCAGAACUUAAGAUUCUGGUGUCACCUCUGUUGUCCUACAUCCCUCUCCAAAGCAAUAACAGGAUGUAUAGUGAUCAAUAUCAUACACAGUAGUGCGGGAGGUACUAAAAUAUCAGUAUCUUAUACAGUAACCCCUAAAUUUUUCAGGAGUUGUAGGGAAUUCUAAUGGAAGAUUCUAAAUAAAAAUCUGUACAGAUUUUUGUACUUGAAAAUG
rnacentral:lncRNA from 1 species